rnacentral:rRNA from 1 species
GUGAGGAAUAUUGCGCAAUGGAGGCAACUCUGACGCAGCCAUGCCGCGUGCAGGAAGAAGGCGCUACGCGUUGUAAACUGCUUUUAACCGGGAAGAAACCCCAGGACGUGUCCUGGGUUGACGGUACCGGAGGAAUAAGCACCGGCUAACUUCGUGCCAGCAGCCGCGGUAAUACGAAGGGUGCAAGCGUUAUCCGGAUUCAUUGGGUUUAAAGGGUGCGUAGGCGGAGCGUUAAGUCAGUGGUGAAAUCCUGCAGCUUAACUGUAGACUUGCCAUUGAUACUGGCGCUCUUGAGUGCGCUUGAAGUGGGCGGAAUGUGCCGUGUAGCGGUGAAAUGCUUAGAUAUGGCACAGAACACCAAUUGCGAAGGCAGCUCACUAAGGCGAUACUGACGCUGAGGCACGAAAGCGUGGGGAUCGAACAGGAUUAGAAACCCCAGAGUCC